rnacentral:rRNA from 1 species
UACGUAGGGGGCUAGCGUUGUCCGGAAUCAUUGGGCGUAAAGCGCGUGUAGGCGGCCCGGUAAGUCCGCUGUGAAAGUCGGGGGCUCAACCCUCGAAUGCCGGUGGAUACUGUCGGGCUAGAGUGCGGAAGAGGCGAGUGGAAUUCCUGGUGUAGCGGUGGAAUGCGCAGAUAUCAGGAGGAACACCAAUAGCGAAGGCAGCUCGCUGGGACGUUACUGACACUGAGGCGCGAAAGCGUGGGGAGCGAACAGG